CAUAGUUGGUGAAUCUUUCCGUGGCCGAAGAACCUAUCCGACACAAUCAAAGGAACUUCGUGACCACUCACACUAUAUGGGAGUUAACGAUUGGUCGUUGAGAUCAAAGUUGAUGGCAUUCCUAUAAAUGAGCUCAAUGGAUAAAGUAAACAAAACAACACCAUCAACUUAGGAUCGAAGUAUUCCAAGAAAAGAAAUAGAGAAAAAAAUGUGCUAUAGAGUGGAUUGUAAGAAAUGUGGGAAAUACUCAUGGGGUGGGUGCGGUAAACAUUUGAGCACCCUCUAUGCUAGUAUCGAACAAGGCAAACACUGCAAUUGUCAUCCUUGGCCCGGGGUUGUCAUCCCCCCUUCUCAGACCACAGCCCAAAACAAAUGUGUUCCGACCACUCAAAACAACUGUGUUGCGACCACUGCAGGUACUCAAUGAGGCGAUGAUGCCGUUGGGCACGAGGUACACUGCUUCAAGAGACCAAUAAAGUAUAUUAUAAUAUAAUAUAGUCGUAGUUAUCUGUAAUAAGGUAAUAAUAAUGUGAUAGGGUGUUGUAAAUUUUGAGGUCAAUACACAUUGACCGAACCACUCUAUUUUGCUUCCAUAGUUCUAAUUUAUGUGCAAGAAAAGUAAAUCGAUUUCGAGAAUUGAGUGCUCUUUUAACCUUGUGCAGGGUGUUUGUAAUAUUUAUUCUAUAUAUUCAAUUAAUCACGGGUUAUGUGCC